rnacentral:rRNA from 1 species
UACAGGGGGGGCAAGCGUUGUUCGGAAUUACUGGGCGUAAAGGGCGCGUAGGCGGCCUGCUAAGUCGAACGUGAAAUCCCUGGGCUCAACCCAGGAACUGCGUCCGAUACUGGUUGGCUUGAAUCCGGGAGAGGGAUGUGGAAUUCCUGGUGUAGCGGUGAAAUGCGCAGAUAUCAGGAGGAACACCGAUUGCGAAGGCAGCUCGCUGGGACGUAACUGACGCUGAGACGCGAAAGCGUGGGGAGCAAACAGG